UACUCUUACAUGUUCUGUUACCAUGGA
rnacentral:piRNA from 1 species